rnacentral:rRNA from 1 species
UCCGCACCAAUAAGCGUUGAAAAGCUUCUGGAUGAGCCGAGUGUAGGAGUGAAAGGCCAAUCAAACUCGGAGAUAGCUCGUACUCCCCGAAAGGCAUUUAGGUGCCGCGUCACAUGAUCUGUAUGAGAGGUAGAGCGACCGAUAGGUCAAGAGGGCUUCACCGCCUAUCGCGACCUGACGAACUCCGAAUGCUCAUACACUGCAGUGUGGCAGUAAGGGGGCGGGUGCUAAGGUCCGUCCCCGAGAGGAGAAGAAUCCAGACCGCCGUCUAAGGUCCCCAAGUUCUGUCUGAGUUAGUCUAACGAAGUGUGGUCUCCGUGACAGCUAGGAUGUUGGCUUGGAAGCAGCCAUUCAUUCAAAGAGUGCGUAACAGCUCACUAGUCGAGAGACCGUGCAUGGAUAAUAAUCGGGUAUAAGACAGGCACCGAAGGCGCGGGAUAGUAAUGAUAAAAGUAUCGGUAGGGGAGCAUUCCUGCGGCGUUGAAUGUGACAGGACGACUGUCCCUGGAGCUUCAGGAAAAGCAAAUGUAGGUAUAAGUAACGAUUAGGGGUGUGAGAUCCACCCCCGCCGUACGACUAAGGUUUCCCGGGCAAUGUUAAUCAUCCCGGGGUAAGUCGGGUCCUAAGUCUAAGCCGAACGGCGAAGGCGAUGGCUGACACGGUCAAUAUUCCGUGACUUCCUUAUGGAGUGACGUGGAGACGCAGUCGUGACACUGCCGCGGGGAAACGGAAUUCCCCGUUAAAGGAUGUAGGCGCUGAGGGAGGCAGGCAAAUCCACCUUCCGAGCUGAACUCCGACAGUACGGCACUCUCUCCGGAGAGAGCCGAUAGCGCAGGUAAUCAUACUGCCGAGAAAAUCCGCUAAACUUAAUCCAUACGGAACCCGUACCGCAAACCGACACAGGUAGUCGGGUAGAACAUACUAAGGCGUUGAGAGAUUCACGGUUAAGGAACUAGGCAAACUGACCCCGUAACUUCGGGAUAAGGGGUCCUCCAGCAAUGGAGGCGCAGAGAAUAGGUCCAGGCAACUGUUUAGCAAAAACACAGGGCUGUGCAAACUCGCAAGAUGAGGUAUACAGCCUGACACCUGCCCGGUGCCGGAAGGUUAAGAGGAGAUGUCACCGCAAGGGAAGCAUUGAAUUGAAGCCCCGGUAAACGGCGGCCGUAACUAUAACGGUCCUA